rnacentral:lncRNA from 1 species
AAUUCAAAUGGACACCAACUUAUCCCUUAUCCACUAAAGGCGUGAGGUGUGGCUUAAAUUGUGCAUGGAGUGAUUUCAUGAGAAACCUUUUCUCAUGUAAUAAAUGGGGCAUAAAAAAAGGGAUAAGGCACAAAGAUUGAUUGCCCAUUCAAAUUCAAACUUUAUUUUGAAUUUGAAUGGCCAACCAAUCAUCCUUAUCCAUUCAUAUGGCACAUUAAAGUGGGGCGUGGAGAGGGCUUGGCGUCAGAAAAUAAUUCAUGAGAAGUUUCUUCUCAUGAAUUCAAAUGGGUGCAAUGGAAGUGAGGUGGCGCAUGGAGAUUGGGUCAAGGUGGUUUAAUUAUUUAAACCAACCUAAUUGAACCAAAUAAGUUA